CGAGGUCACGUUCCUUAAUCUGAGGAUCACGGUUUCGCUCACUUUCGUCCGAACCGCAGAUAACAGUGGAAGUGUCUUGCUUUGUUCGUGUGUCGUUUUUCAAUUUUUCUAGUUGAAUUGUGCAAGUCAAUAUAGUGUGCGUCGUAGGCUAGAUUUGUGUGCUUAAAAUCGAUCUAGGCCAGCCGACGGCUAUAUUUCCUUCCAAGCGCCAGGUCAGCGGAAUCCCCCGGACGAAAGACCCCGGCAACCGUCAUCUUGUCCGGUGGGAAGCGAUUCGUCC